CAGAAUUAGUUGAUCAGUCAGUGAUACGCCAGAAACAAGCACCGACAUGCAUUCAUGUGAGAAGUGAGCCUUAAUGUGAAAUAUAUGACGCUAGUUAUACUCCAAAACACGUUUGUUUACAUGGCAGAGUCAACGCAAUCAAAAUUAAAAGUAAUCAGUAGGUGAUACACAAGAAACAA
rnacentral:lncRNA from 1 species